rnacentral:rRNA from 1 species
CAAGGCUUUGACGGGUAGCCGGCCUGAGAGGGUGACCGGCCACAUUGGGACUGAGAUACGGCCCAGACUCCUACGGGAGGCAGCAGUGGGGAAUAUUGCACAAUGGGCGGAAGCCUGAUGCAGCAACGCCGCGUGCGGGAUGACGGCCUUCGGGUUGUAAACCGCUUUCGCCUGUGACGAAGCGUGAGUGACGGUAAUGGGUAAAGAAGCACCGGCUAACUACGUGCCAGCAGCCGCGGUGAUACGUAGGGUGCGAGCGUUGUCCGGAUUUAUUGGGCGUAAAGGGCUCGUAGGUGGUUGAUCGCGUCGGAAGUGUAAUCUUGGGGCUUAACCCUGAGCGUGCUUUCGAUACGGGUUGACUUGAGGAAGGUAGGGGAGAAUGGAAUUCCUGGUGGAGCGGUGGAAUGCGCAGAUAUCAGGAGGAACACCAGUGGCGAAGGCGGUUCUCUGGGCCUUUCCUGACGCUGAGGAGCGAAAGCGUGGGGAGCGAACAGGCUUAGAUACCCUGGUAGUCCACGCUGUAAACGGUGGGUACUAGGUGUGGGGUCCAUUCCACGGGUUCCGUGCCGUAGCUAACGCUUUAAGUACCCCGCCUGGGGA